CAACCUGCGGGGGGCAGCGGGCUUGCACGCUGCUGAGUGGGAGAGUUCGCAGCGCAGAGGCUCGCCAGGCCACCGCAGUUUGAGGACGGACCCCAGGCGUUCUCGGUGUACAACAGGGGUUCCGGCUCAGCCUCUUUGGUGCGGCGCUUCCUCCAGGUGGGGUGAUGGCAAGAAGAAAGCCAGGACAGUGAGCAGGGUUGCUUUCGGCUGCUUUCCCCCAGGAGCUGGCGACGAUGAGAUGGGGAGCCCCGUGGUAUCCCUCACCCCCAGAUAUGGUGAGGCUCCUAACAGUGGGUGCUGGAAAGCAGGUGUGACCUCUGGGGUGCAGAGGAGGAAGCCGAGUAGCAGAUGCCUGGAGUGACUGAGUAUGUUUGGCUGUCAUUUAAAGGAGCAGAUGACCCCGCUUGGCCUCCAUGGCCGUACGCCUCGUCUCUGAAUGGAUCCUGAUUUCUACAAGGCCUCACCCGAUCAUUGGGGACAGACAGGAUGGAUGCAAGGGACGGAGCGUGAGGGAGCGGCCCGUGGAGAA